rnacentral:rRNA from 1 species
GAUGAACGCUGGCGGCGUGCCUAAUACAUGCAAGUCGAGCGAACAGAUGAGGAGCUUGCUCCUCUGACGUUAGCGGCGGACGGGUGAGUAACACGUGGAUAACCUACCUAUAAGACUGGGAUAACUUCGGGAAACCGGAGCUAAUACCGGAUAAUAUAUUUAACCGCAUGGUUCAAUAGUGAAAGACGGUUUUGCUGUCACUUAUAGAUGGAUCCGCGCCGCAUUAGCUAGUUGGUAAGGUAACGGCUUACCAAGGCAACGAUGCGUAGCCGACCUGAGAGGGUGAUCGGCCACACUGGAACUGAGACACGGUCCAGACUCCUACGGGAGGCAGCAGUAGGGAAUCUUCUGCAAUGGGCGAAAGCCUGACGGAGCAACGCCGCGUGAGUGAUGAAGGUCUUCGGAUCGUAAAACUCUGUUAUUAGGGAAGAACAAAUGUGUAAGUAACUAUGCACGUCUUGACGGUACCUAAUCAGAAAGCCACGGCUAACUACGUG